rnacentral:lncRNA from 1 species
GGACUAACUUUAAAUUUUUUUUUGGUGCCCUACUAAUGAAAAACUAAAAAAAAAAAAAUUAAAAUUCGAAUCCAGGAUGCCAUCCUAAGAUGAAGGGGCAAUCUUGAAAAUAAUGAAAAAAGAGGGUUUGGCCGAUCUUCUUUAUAAUUUCCACCGGAGCAUUUUGUAUUUUAGAAUUUUUUUAAAGAUCUAUACGUAAAUCACUCAAAAAUUUAAUGAUGUACAAGACUACUUUUGAUGAAUAAAACUUUAGUAAUGCUUCUAAAAAAGUGCAAAAAAAAAAAAAAAUUUCACAAAAGGGUUACUAUCUUAAUCGAAAGUGAUCCUUUCUCUAGUUUAAAUGCCAAGAAGAAUUCAGGAAAGGGUUGGUAUCUUAAUUGAAAUGAAAGUGAUCCUAUAUCUACUUUGAAAGCAAAAGGUUGCAUUGGGUGGUGCAUAAAUGAGAAAUUAGGGUAAGAGCCGAG